AGCGAACGCUGGCGGCAGGCCUAACACAUGCAAGUCGAACGAAGUCUUCGGACUUAGUGGCGGACGGGUGAGUAACACGUGGGAACGUGCCUUUAGGUUCGGAAUAACUCAGGGAAACUUGUGCUAAUACCGAAUGUGCCCUUCGGGGGAAAGAUUUAUCGCCUUUAGAGCGGCCCGCGUCUGAUUAGCUAGUUGGUGAGGUAAAGGCUCACCAAGGCUACGAUCAGUAGCUGGUCUGAGAGGAUGACCAGCCACAUUGGGACUGAGACACGGCCCAAACUCCUACGGGAGGCAGCAGUGGGGAAUCUUGCGCAAUGGGCGAAAGCCUGACGCAGCCAUGCCGCGUGGAUGAUGAAGGUCUUAGGAUUGUAAAAUCCUUUCACCGGUGAAGAUAAUGACUGUAGCCGGAGAAGAAGCCCCGGCUAACUUCGUGCCAGCAGCCGCAGUAAAAC
rnacentral:rRNA from 1 species